rnacentral:rRNA from 1 species
AUACCGUGAAACUGCGAAUGGCUCAUUAAAUCAGUUAUCGUUUAUUUGAUAGUACCUUACUACUUGGAUAACCGUGGUAAUUCUAGAGCUAAUACAUGCUGAAAACCCCAACUUCGGGAGGGGUGUAUUUAUUAGAUAAAAAACCAACGCCCUUCGGGGCUUCUUGGUGAUUCAUGAUAACUUUACGGAUCGCAUGGCCUUGCGCCGGCGACGGUUCAUUCAAAUUUCUGCCCUAUCAACUUUCGAUGGUAAGGUAUUGGCUUACCAUGGUUUCAACGGGUAACGGGGAAUUAGGGUUCGAUUCCGGAGAGGGAGCCUGAGAAACGGCUACCACAUCCAAGGAAGGCAGCAGGCGCGCAAAUUACCCAAUCCCGACACGGGGAGGUAGUGACAAUAAAUACUGAUACAGGGCUCUUUUGGGUCUUGUAAUUGGAAUGAGUACAAUUUAAACCUCUUAACGAGGAACAAUUGGAGGGCAAGUCUGGUGCCAGCAGCCGCGGUAAUUCCAGCUCCAAUAGCGUAUAUUAAAGUUGUUGCAGUUAAAAAGCUCGUAGUUGAACCUUGGGUCUGGCUGGCAGGUCCGCCUCACCGCGUGUACUUGUCCGGCCGGGCCUUCCUUCUGGAGAACCUCAUGCCCUUCACUGGGCGUGUUGGGGACCAGGACUUUUACUUUGAAAAAAUUAGAGUGUUCAAAGCAGGCCUUUGCUCGAAUACGUUAGCAUGGAAUAAUAGAAUAGGACGUGCGGUCCUAUUUUGUUGGUUUCUAGGACCGCCGUAAUGAUUAAUAGGGACAGUCGGGGGCAUCAGUAUUCAAUUGUCAGAGGUGAAAUUCUUGGAUUUAUUGAAGACUAACUACUGCGAAAGCAUUUGCCAAGGAUGUUUUCAUUAAUCAGUGAACGAAAGUUAGGGGAUCGAAGACGAUCAGAUACCGUCGUAGUCUUAACCGUAAACUAUGCCGACUAGGGAUCGGGCGAUGUUCUUUUUCUGACUCGCUCGGCACCUUACGAGAAA